rnacentral:rRNA from 1 species
GACGAACGCUGGCGGCGUGCUUAACACAUGCAAGUCGAACGGAAAGGCCCUGCUUUUGUGGGGUGCUCGAGUGGCGAACGGGUGAGUAGCACGUGAGUAACCUGCCCUUGACUUUGGGAUAACUUCAGGAAACUGGGGCUAAUACCGGAUAGGAGCUCCUGCUGCAUGGUGGGGGUUGGAAAGUUUCGGCGGUUGUGGAUGGACUCGCGGCUUAUCAGCUUGUUGGUGGGGUAGUGGCUUACCAAGGCUUUGACGGGUAGCCGGCCUGAGAGGGUGACCGGCCACAUUGGGACUGAGAGACGGCCCAGACUCCUACGGGAGGCAGCAGUGGGGAAUAUUGCACAAUGGGCGGAAGCCUGAUGCAGCAACGCCGCGUGCGGGAUGACGGCCUUCGGGUUGUAAACCGCUUUCGCCUGUGACGAAGCGUGAGUGACGGUAAUGGGUAAAGAAGCACCGGCUAACUACGUG